UACGUAGGGGGCAAGCGUUGUCCGGAAUCAUUGGGCGUAAAGCGCGCGUAGGCGGACCUGCAAGUCGGGGGUGAAAGCCCGAGGCUCAACCUCGGAACUGCCUUCGAUACUGCGGGUCUCGAGUCCGGGAGAGGUGAGUGGAAUUCCUAGUGUAGAGGUGAAAUUCGUAGAUAUUAGGAAGAACACCAGUGGCGAAGGCGGCUCACUGGCCCGGUACUGACGCUGAGGCGCGAAAGCGUGGGGAGCAAACAGGG
rnacentral:rRNA from 1 species